CCUACGGGCGGCAGCAGUGGGGAAUAUUGCACAAUGGGGGAAACCCUGAUGCAGCGACGCCGCGUGAGUGAAGAAGUAUUUCGGUACGUAAAGCUCUAUCAGCAGGGAAGAAAAUGACGGUACCUGACUAAGAAGCCCCGGCUAACUACGUGCCAGCAGCCGCGGUAAUACGUAGGGGGCAAGCGUUAUCCGGAUUUACUGGGUGUAAAGGGAGCGUAGACGGCAGCGCAAGGCUGGAGUGAAAUCCCAUGGCUUAACCAUGGAACUGCUUUGGAAACUGUGCAGCUAGAGUGCAGGAGAGGUAAGCGGAAGUCCUAGUGUAGCGGUGAAAUGCGUAGAUAUUAGGAGGAACACCAGUGGCGAAGGCGGCUUACUGGACUGUAACUGACGUUGAGGCUCGAAAGCGUGGGGAGCAAACAGGAUUAGAUACCCCGGUAGUC
rnacentral:rRNA from 1 species